CGUUGGAUAAAUCUAUGACCUGCCAUAUUCUCUCCAAAAAAUAGAAGGGUUAAUUUCAGCUAGCAAACAAGCUCAGCCAGGUCCUGUAUCUCAUCCACCCCAUCAGUAAUAUCUCACAUCAUUCCAGCAAUCUCAAGAAUUACUCCAACUGAGUCACAUUCUGGAAAUGUGUUUGGACUAUUCAGCGUGGCUCUCAUGAUGACCUUAGUGUUCUCAUAAUUAGAGAUACUGAAGACCUUACCUUCUCUGCCAUGUGAGGAUACAGGAUGAAGGUGUCACCUGCAAGCCAG
rnacentral:lncRNA from 1 species